GCGUAAGAGUCCGGGCGGUCCAAUGUGUAUGGGGAAGAGGGCGGAGCUAGAGCGGCCUGGAUUACCAUUAGGUUAUAGUCGGAGACUACAUUUCCCAUGCUGCGCCGGAAACCGGAAGCACCUCGGCGCCAGUGCGCAGGCGCAAAAAAGCCCCCUCUGGUUAUAUAAGAGAGAU
rfam:Myotis brandtii contig82185, whole genome shotgun sequence.